GGGGAGUAUUGGACAAUGGGGGAAACCCUGAUCCAGCCAUGCCGCGUGAGUGAUGAAGGCCUUCGGGUUGUAAAGCUCUUUUAGCGGGGAAGAUAAUGACGGUACCCGCAGAAGAAGCCCCGGCUAACUUCGUGCCAGCAGCCGCGGUAAGACGAAGGGGGCUAGCGUUGUUCGGAAUUACUGGGCGUAAAGCGCACGUAGGCGGCCUUUCAAGUCAGAUGUGAAAGCCCCGAGCUUAACUCGGGAAAUGCAUUUGAUACUGUUGGGCUAGAGACCGGGAGAGGAUAGCGGAAUUCCCAGUGUAGAGGUGAAAUUCGUAGAUAUUGGGAAGAACACCAGUGGCGAAGGCGGCUAUCUGGACCGGUACUGACGCUGAGGUGCGAAAGCGUGGGGAGCAAA
rnacentral:rRNA from 1 species